AUUAUAUUUACAUGAUUUAAAAGCCUUUACAAAUUUUUAUUUUUAAACAUACACCAAAAUUUUUAUAAAAGUAAAUAUUCAUUCAGCUUCUCAACCACUUCAAAUACUACCAACGCCAAAAAAAUUUAAUCAAGUGCACGAAAACUAUAAUAUAUUUAAAACUACAAUAAAUACAUUAGUUAAUGAAAAAUCAUUUUUAAAAAAUAUUAUGGAUGCAUACAUAAAUGUUAAGAGAACUGUAUAAAAGGAUUUAAAAGUAACAAUAACUUGAAGAACAAAAUGUAUAAGACUGAGAAUAUUUAUGAUUUGUGGUCUAAGAUAUAUUUAACUUAUUGUCACAAAAAAACUUAAUAAAAAAUAAAUAUUUUGUUUUAAGAACAUUAAAAAUCACGUUAAAAUUUUUAACAUUUUAAGAAAAAUUAUGAAUCAAUAAUACUAAAAUAAAAUUUUAUCCGAAAAACUCAUCACUAAAUACAUAAACUAAAAAACAAACAAACCCUAAACCCUAUAAUCCUAAGCAUUAUUCUAAACCAAACAUUAAACCCAACAUAAACUAAACGCUAAACUUUUCCUACUACCUAAACCCUAAAUCCUACCUAACCCUACCUAAACCCUAUCUAACCCUAAACCCUACAUAAACCUAACCUAAUCCCUAAACCCUUCAUACUACCUAAAUCCUAAACCUAUCUAACCGUAAACCUACUUAACCCUAAACGUAAACCCUAACUAACCCUAAACCCUAUUUAACCCUAACCCUAUUUAACCCUAAACCCUACCUAACCCUAAACCCUUUCUAACCCUAAAACCCUACCUAAAACCUAACCCUAAACCUACCUAACCCUAACCUUAAACCCUACCUAACCCUAAAUCCUAUUAACCC
rnacentral:lncRNA from 1 species